rnacentral:rRNA from 1 species
UACGAAGGGGGGCUAGCGUUGCUCGGAAUCACUGGGCGUAAAGCGCACGUAGGCGGAUCUUUAAGUCAGGGGUGAAAUCCCAAGGCUCAACCUUGGAACUGCCUUUGAUACUGGGGAUCUCGAGUCCGGAAGAGGUGAGUGGAACUGCGAGUGUAGAGGUGAAAUUCGUAGAUAUUCGCAAGAACACCAGUGGCGAAGGCGGCUCACUGGUCCGGUACUGACGCUGAGGUGCGAAAGCGUGGGGAGCGAACAGG